AUUGAACGCUGGCGGCAGGCUUAACACAUGCAAGUCGAGCGGGGUGAUGGUGCUUGCACUAUCACUUAGCGGCGGACGGGUGAGUAAUGCUUAGGAAUCUGCCUAUUAGUGGGGGACAACAUCUCGAAAGGGAUGCUAAUACCGCAUACGUCCUACGGGAGAAAGCAGGGGAUCACUUGUGACCUUGCGCUAAUAGAUGAGCCUAAGUCGGAUUAGCUAGUUGGUGGGGUAAGGCCUACCAAGGCGACGAUCUGUAGCGGGUCUGAGAGGAUGAUCCGCCACACUGGGACUGAGAGACGGCCCAGACGCCUACGGGAGGCAGCAGUGGGGAAUAUUGGACAAUGGGGGGAACCCUGAUCCAGCCAUGCCGCGUGUGUGAAGAAGGCCUUAUGGUUGUAAAGCACUUUAAGCGAGGAGGAGGCUCUUUUGGUUAAUACCCAAGAUGAGUGGACGUUACUCGCAGAAUAAGCACCGGCUAACUCUGUGCCAGCCGCCGCGGUAA
rnacentral:rRNA from 1 species